rnacentral:lncRNA from 1 species
CUAAUUAUCCACCGUUUCUGCAAAGAAACAGGAAAGUGCAAAUCAGCCACAAAGUAACCAUAAACACGAAAGUACAAGAAGCUGUGGGUAAAAAAUAACCAUCACAAUAAUUUUCUUUCUUGCCAAACAGAAAACGAGAAAUCAAAUUACACAAUAAACAAAUUUAGCUCAAGACAUCUAAAAUCUUGAAACAAAUUAAAAAUAUAGCUAAAUUUACAACAGAAGCAUAGAAACUAGACGACGAUAACCAGAAACGAAGAUGGUAAUUACAGGAUCAAAGAGAAUAAAUUGAUCUCGAAAACAGGUUAAGUGAUUAAAGAUACAAAAGAAAAGAAAAUGUGAAAACGUGUGGUACCGCAUGAACAAGAAGCAAAAUUAUAUGGGGAAAAUGAGAGAAAGGUGAAAUGAGCGGAUCGAGAGAUAGAGAUAAUAUUAAUAUAUAUCGACCAAGAAUAGCGUGAUAUUUAUAAGAAAAGAGAGGUAAAAGAACCGGCAUUAAGCUAGUAGAGAGUUGAGACGUACUCUUUCUCCGGCGAGGUGGUGAGAACUGAGAAAUGGCUUUCUUCUCGCUUUCUCACUCUCACAGCUUCCUCUCCCUCUCUCUCUCCCGACGUCGACGUUUGGCGUGUGGCGCCUUUAUGCUGUUAGUCCGCUAUUGGACUAGAAUUGAGAGAGAAGAUUUAUCAUCGCUUAAGAGAUAAACGAGACGCCGUCGGUGCUCACUGGACUGCCGGCGGUCGUCAGUGAAAUGGGGGAGAAAGGCGAUUGGAAAUUAUGGGAAGGGAGGCAGAGGCGCCGACGGAGAGAGAGAGCUGUGUAUGACCGAGUAAAAUGAAAAAAUAAAUAUUAGGGAUUAGGGUUAGUGUUGUUAGUAUAGGUAUCCGGGUUCGGGUAACGGUUAUCCAAUCACUUAAGUCCGAACCCUACCCGAAUCCGAGACGGGUAAAAAUUUUCAAAUCCGAAUCCGCCCAAAUCCGUUUUGUAAGAACCCAAAUUCGUCCUAAUAGGGUUUGGACGGAUCGGGUACCCGUAAAAACCCGCUCGCCUGCCAUCCCUAAAC